GAAGGGACGGUGGUUGGGAACGACUAGCUGUGUUUGAGCGCAAAUGAGGAUGCCCAGGAUCCUAGCUAUAUGGGGCAGUGUUAGCAUCAGGGUACCGCGUGCGACAGAGUCAAUCUGUAGUUGUCAAUCAUCGUGACCAGGGAUGACUGGGCCUAAAUGGCCAAAGGAGUGGACUAUGAUGAUGUACUGUUAUCCUCACUUUAUGAUAAGGUCACAAGGGGAAGAAAUUACCAUAUUGUGUGCAGGUCCCACAUACCGAGUCGCAUGGUGUACUGCCUACUUGGACUCAGAGAAGGAGCGUAUAUCCAGCAAGAGUCACUGAAUGGAGCUGGAGACCUGAAUCAAAGCCUGUGGUCAAUCCUGCUUACAUGUGCCAGGGCACAGACAGCAUUACAGAUGCAAGACCCUUCACCAUUGCUGUUAAAGAUCAAUAUAUACUACUCCUUUGUAAAAAAGAGUUAACAGGAACUGCAGUAUUUCUUCAGGAGGGAAGGAGAGUUCAAUAAAAGAAAGCUUGAGGUACAAGGAAAGGUAGAUAAAAGAACUGACAACUCUUCUAGGUACUGACAACUCUUGAUUGAGAGCUGUGUUGUAGAAAGCACACAUUUGAUGACUGAGGAUAAACCUGGAGGAUCUUUGUAGGAAGAGCUAUCCUGUGACGAUAGAUCUGAAGGAACUCCAGUAUAAGGGAAUGAGAUUUGGAGAGCUGAACGUUCAGCAAGUCCUCCAACCAGGAAAGUUAGUAGUUAUUCGGCUCUCCUGUCCAUGAGGUGAUUGAAAACAGGGCAAGAAGCAAGCGUCUUGAGUUCAGAGAUCAUAGCAGCCAUUCCUCUGGAGGUACUCUCCAUGUUGCCCACACAGAGCAGAAGGGGUGGGUAAAGGUCUAUUUUGUGAUUAAUAAAUUAUGUCCCUUAAUGACCCCCAACAUUUGGCUGCAACAAAUAACAGAGGCCCUCUGCUUGACCCCUAAGUUAUGGUCAAUGGCUAAAAUUUUACGGUCUACAAAACACUGACCAUUUACCAAUAUUAUUAAUUUUUUUAAUAGGUAAAAUAGAACAGUUUUAAAAGGUUACAUAUUCCAAGGUAUUUAAGAUACAGUUCCAACAGAAAAAUAUAAGCUCUGCAAUGAAAUUUUGUGCUGCCUCAAGAUAAUCAGAUUUCACAGUUCAGGCAAAUCAGAAUUAACACACUAUAGUCCCAAAACUGAUUAAGAAAUGUUCACUAACAAUUUAGAGAAUCUAGAGAAGCCAAAUGAGAAGAAAAUAUUUUGUAGGUUUGCAUGUUAUCUCUGUUAGAUAAUGAGAAUGAUUCUUGAGAAGAUAGCCAAAAAAGGCAACGGUGGCUAUAACACACAGAACAAGUCAUUCAGUAAUGCCAGGGUUUGCUUUUUUCCUUUUCUUUCUUAUGCUUCUUCUUAAAAUGGGAGUCCUCACUUAUCCCAAAUAAUUUUUACUAAAACCUAAAAUAAGAAUAAAUUACAUAAGGACUACAAUUCUGUUGAGAUGACCAUGAUUUUACAACUCAUCAGUAGAAAAAAAAAUUACUGGAAGUUACCUGAGAAGGUACUAAAGAAGUUAACUGAGAAGCUACUAAAGAUAGAUUAACUGUGCCUGUCCUGUUUACCCACUGCCUUUGAGAGCCUUUAAAUACAACCAUGUCAUGUUAACAAGGAAAAUGGCUGCAAAUCAGUCUAUACAGACCAAUUUCUAUUGGUCUAGACACUAUUUUCAAGUGCUAAAAAAUUUUCAACUCCAACUGCUCAACUUCACAGAUACCAGUUCAUCAGAAAUGCCUAAAGCAUCCUUUGAACUUCUUUCCCCUGAUGUUCCUUUUAGAUCACAACACAAGGAAACAACUGGCAAAGGUUUCCAAAGGUUUCUGAAAUUAACAAACGUUUCCUCUACGCCCAGGUAUCACACACCCCUGGACACCCCCAACACUUAGGCUGUAUCUCAUUAAGCAGGCCGGGAGCAAAUUCAUUUACUUUCUUCCCUAUCCACUGACUAGAUGUUUUUAAAAAUUACUUCCUAAGGGAUGUGUUAUAAUGCAAUGUGCCUGAAAUAUGGAUCUUUCUGUUUAAGCUGUUAUACUUUUGGAGCAGCAAGUUCACUCCUGAUGUCUUUGACAUCAUUGGUUCUGCCCAUCAGAUAGAAUUAUUUGUUGGGGGCAAGACUGACAAAAUGAGCAAGGCAACUGGACAUGGCAAAAAAAAAAAAAAAAGCUGAAAUGGAAGCUAGAUCCCAGGCAUCUUCUCGAUUGAAGCCUCGUACCUCAAGCAUUUUGAAAUGGUCAUCUGUUAUAUCAUCAGCUCGGGAAAUAGCAAGUGCAAACUCCAGCAUUGCCUUUUCCCUAGCAGAGAGAUCAGACUUUCUCCAGUUCACACAGAUGUGCAAGAAAAUACACAGAAGCAGAAUCUCUGUUCAUCCCAAGAUAGCCAAUAAAACAACGGGCCUAACAAAAUGAAAAAAAUCCUAGGUUAAAGGGACAAAGUCAGGCCAAAAUAAACUUUCCAGUUAAACUUGAUCAAGUCCAGUGGAAUGCAGACCUGAAACUCUGGCUCAGCACCACCUCUGCCAAGAAGUCUUCUUUGCUCACUCCAACUACAAGCACCUCCUCUUUCUCCUCUAAACACUAUGGCAUCAAAAAUCUCAGAACCAAGAGUCAGAGACUCUGAGUACAUAAGGACCCCAAAUCCCAACUUUUUCAUAUGAGUAAAGUGAAGCUCAGAUAAUUA